rnacentral:rRNA from 1 species
ACGCUCGACACCUACGGGGGCAGCAGUGGGGAAUAUUGCACAAUGGGGGAAACCCUGAUGCAGCGACGCCGCGUGAGCGAAGAAGUAUUUCGGUAUGUAAAGCUCUAUCAGCAGGGAAGAAAAUGACGGUACCUGACUAAGAAGCCCCGGCUAACUACGUGCCAGUAGCCGCGGUAAUCUGAGGCGGGCGUGGCGAAGGC